CCUACGGGAGGCAGCAGUGAGGAAUAUUGGACAAUGGACGCAAGUCUGAACCAGCCAAGUAGCGUGCAGGAUGACGGCCCUCCGGGUGGUAAACUGCUUUUAGUUGGGAAUAAAAGGGGGCUCGUGAGCCCCGUAUUGUAUGUACCAUCAGAAAAAGGACCGGCUAAUUCCGUGCCAGCAGCCGCGGUAAUACGGAAGGUCCGGGCGUUAUCCGGGUUGAUUGGGUUUAAAGGGAGCGUAGGCCGUCUUUUAAGCAAGCUGUGAAAGGCCGCGGCUCAACCGUGGAAUUGCAGUUGAGACUGGAGUCCUUGAGUGCACACAGGGAUGCCGGGAUUCAUGGUGUAGCGGUGAAAUGCUUAGAUAUCAGGAAGAACUCCGAUCGCGAAGGCAAGUGUCCGGGGUGCAACUGACGCUGAGGCUCGAAAGUGUGGGUAUCAAACAGGAUUAGAUACCCUAGUAGUC
rnacentral:rRNA from 1 species